GUUUGGUUUUGUUUUACUGUAUUUUGAAUUCUUAAUCACUGAGCAGAUACUUUAUUACUGUGAAAGGAGUUAUAAACAUCAUUGACUUGAUGCUGGUAGUGCAGGAGCAGAUGGGUGCUGGUCUCUACAGCUUUUUGGUUUCUAAAAAAUCUUCUUCCCCAGGAGAGCUGUUGGCAAAGUAUAACACUCUAUGAUCAGGCUACUGGAACAAAAAGAAAAAAGGAAGGAAAAAGUAAAUUAGCCAUACACAAAUCUACAUUUUUUUUUUCUAAAAAGGGCAAAAAACCCAUCACCUUUAAAUGUACGUGUUUAUUAUAAUUAAAGAGUGUAAUAAAUACUUCCCUAUCAGAUUUAAUAUUAUCUCUCCCACUUCAUUCUUUAUUAUCACUUUCCCUUGCCCUCCUUGUUCACUUCUAGGCUCUAUAGCAGAUCCGCUUAAUGAUCACUGCUUCCAGGGCAAAGCUGCCAUCAGCCAGAGAUGUGACAGUUCACAGAGAGAGAUGUUUUGGCAUUCUGGGAUACAGAGGGCAUUAAAUAUGGUGUAAGACAGAACAAGUCUUCUUUAGUUUGACCUAUAAAACAUAGAUGCUAUUGUAAAAAAUAGCACUGCAAAAUAUCUUCCGCCUGUAGCUGUGGAUGAUAUCAAUCUUCAAGAAACCACAGUUUAAGAGGGCUUUGGAUAAAUGGAAACUCUUUCCAAGAAUGUUGGCCAGAGUGGGAAAUGAAAGAAGAGGAAUGAAUUAUCUAGGAAACACACUGCCACGGCCCUGACAUUGUAUCUCAUUUAAUGCCCUCAGCUCUGCAAGUUCAUUAAUAUCUCCACUAUACAGACAAUUUAGUAUUGUUUGGAUGAAGUGCGAUAACAAUAAUUAACUUCUUCAAAGUCACACAGCUGUCACUUAGCAAAACCACCAUUCAAACUGCUCUGUCUUGAUUCUAAAUCUGUAUUCCAUCUCAUUAUCUGCAAGAAGAUUUAGGAGGACUUUUAUAGUUGGCUUCAAAUAUUUUAAGAUUGUCAUAUCAAAGACUUAAAUUUUCUCUAAGAAAAACAAAAAGUAGACCAAAUUUGUGUAGGCUGUUGGGAGUAGGAUCUUUAGCUCAGCAUAAAGAAUUUUUAAACGAUGCAGCUCUCCGAAGACAGAGGGCUGCCUUGUGAUGGAGUGGCUUUCUGGUCUUUUAGGUGUGCCUACAGCCUAACUGAUGAUGGAUUCUUACUAUUUGCCCUUCCAUCUCUGAGAGUCUACAAUUAGAAUUCCUACCACCUAACACCAUUACCAAAAGCCACAGUGGUAGCAUUAUCAUAAUUAUUUUAUUUAUUUGUGUUUUAGAGUAAUACCUUCUAAGAGUAUAAUGUCAUGUAGUCUACAGGGCUUUCAAUACACUAUGAAACAAUUAAAUAUACUUCUGAGACCUCUUUGAGCUAGAUAUUAUUAUGUAUGGUCUGUAAAUGAGGGAGGAGAUUCAGAGUAUUUGUGGCUUGCCUGGAGUAAAAUGCCUAGUAAAUGAUGGAAUUGGGAGUUUAACCUAGGUUCUUUAAAUUCCCUGCUCUUUUUACUACUGGAAAUUAUCAAUAAAACUGUCAAAAUGGACACAGUCUUGGGAAACUAUUUCAACAGAACUAACUGGAGAAGAAAUAGAAAAUUGCAAAGGUCUAUACCCGUUAAAGGGAUUCAAUCAGUUGUUAAAAACUUAUUUACCAAAAAUCCCAAAAGGCCUAAACAUUUUUAUAGGAAAGUUCUGUGAACAAUUCCAGUCUUGUACAAACUGAUCUAUAGACUGGAAAAAUGUUUGCUUCCCAAGUCAUUUUGUAAGGCUUGAAUAACCUUGAUGUCAAAACCAGAGAAGGGAGUAUAAUAAGAGAAAAUUAAAAGCAAAUCUCAUUUAUAAAAUUAGAUGCAAAAAUCCUGAGUACAAUAAUGAAAACUGAAUCCAGCCAUGUAUUUAAAACAUGCAUCAUGACGAAAUGAGUUUUAUUCAGUGCGUUAGACUCAAUGUCAAGAGUGGCUUGACAUCAGAAAAUCUAUUAAGGUAGUUCUCCACAUUAAUAGAUUAAGGGAGAAAAAAACAUUAUUUUCUGAAUGAUUUCACAGAAAGUGUUUGAUAUAAUCCAGUGUCCUGUCGUAAUAAAAACUCUUAGCAAACUAGAAAUAGAUGGUAGCUUUCCUAACCAGAUAGAGAAUGUCUACCCAAGACCCACAACAAAUGUCGUCCUUGAUGCUGAAACGUUAGAUGUGUUCCCUUUACAGUCAGAAAUGAAACGUGUCUACUCUCACUGCUUCUGUUCACCAUUGUCCUAGAGGUUCUAACUAGAGCAGUAAAAUAGGAAAAAUAUAAAUUCAAAUAUUAUACACAUAUGUAAAUUAAAAUUAAUAUAUAUGAUUUUAUAUGUAAAAUUAAUAUACUUUAAAAUUAGUAUACUGUCUUUUCUUUGAAACAACACUGAUCUAGACUAUUUUUCAAUGAUGGUGCUUCAAAGGAAAGAAAAUUAGAUUACCUUUAUUUGUUGUUCAUGACUUUUAUAAAUACAU
rnacentral:lncRNA from 1 species